CUUCUGUGGGUGUAUUCCCUCCCCCUCUCUCCUCUUCGCAUCCAUCACCGCACUGGAAGGCCGGCCGUUGCAUCGGUGUCUACGUCACUCGGGCCCACUCGACAGGAGCGGCAGCUGCAGCGUCAGCGAACUCAAUGGCGCUUCGCGCGGCGGAGCUCCGGCGACUCCUGCUCCCCCGCGUCGGCGGCGGCGAGGCGGCCCUCCCUCCUAUCGCGUGGCGCGGCCGGUCGGCGAGCACCGCAGCCCCGGCGGACGAGGAGCUCUCCGGGAAGAGCGCCUACGAGGUCCUCGGGGUUGGGGAGACCAGUUCCAACGCCGAGAUCAAGGCCUCCUUCCACCGCCUCGCGAAGGAGACCCACCCAGACGUCGCCGCCGCGGCUGGUUCCCGACGGUUCCUUCAGAUCCUCGCCGCCUACGAGGCUUGUGUAUUGCAGAUCCUAUCGGAUUCACAGAGAAGGGCUCACUACGAUAGCUACCUGCGAUCGCAGAGGCGAAUCGUGCAGAAGCAUCCUAGGCCAUCUCAAUUUGUCUAUCCAAGUGGUUCAGGCUCAGGCAUUGUGGUACCUAGAGAGAGCAAUGUUGUUGAGUGGCUGAAAUGGUAUAGGCUUACCAUUGAUGACAUCGUUACCAAGAAACGGGUUGCCACUGGCUCAGGUUAUUUUGAUAGGCUUGAAAGUGAACUGUACACAGCAAUCCACGCUGCAUACUAUGGCCCUGAUGUUGAGUCCAUGGAUGUCCUUCCUGAUUGCUUUGAAGCGGAAGAGAGAUCUGUGUAUGAGACGUCUGAGUUAUUGCACCUUGUAUCUGGCCGUGAUCUGUUUGGUAUUGUUAGUGUGGCCGAUAGUGUCAAGGAGCUGUCAUAUGCUUGUCGCGAGAAGCUUACAGAGUCUGGUUUUAGAGCUUCUGGGUUUACUGCAAAUGUUCCAAGAAAUGCGAAUAAAGAUCAAGUGUCUAUGAAUCCGGUUGAUACCCACAAUAAAGAGAUGGGGCAUGAAGAUGAUAUUCCUUCAUCAGAUGCCUUCAAGGAUAUUGAGUUGCACAUAUGUGGGAAAGUAGUGGCUACUGCGACUAGGAGCCCCAAGUGCAAUUGCAUUGACAAAUCGGACGUGGAUGAUCACAUUCAUGUAUAUCUUGUUCCAAAUGUGGAUGCAUCUGAUUUAAUGCAAGAGCAUCUUCUCUUAGGCACAAUUACUGGGUUAGGCACCACUGGGGAGGAAGGAUCUUGCUGUGUCUACGAUGAUCGUGGCAUAAAGACACAUGUUAUUAUGAAACACAGGGCAUUGAUGGUUAAACACAUGCACUGGUAUCAAGUUGGAAAUAAAGUUUCACCCUGUGAAUGUCGAUGUAGUAGGGCUCGGUUGCCACCUAGCAGGUAUUGGCUCUUUGAGCCUCGUUGUUACAUGCAUGACACUGGUGGGUGGUACAUCGAGACAUAUGGGAGAGACAAGAAAGGGAGGACGAUUCCAUCUCAGAGACAUUGGGAUGGUUUCAAUGAACAUUCUGAAAAGAGAUUGCAUCCAGCAAUGUAUCUUGUCGCUCUUGCUUACAGGUCUUUGGAUCUUGAAGAUGCUCGAAGAAGACAAUGGAACAUGAGUAACUUCCUGCAAUUGCCAUUGUCUCACAUUCUUCAGUUGUUCAAAAGAAUUAUUAAUGGGGAGAAGAAAGGAGUUGACAUGAGAACACCAUGAGAAUAAUUUGUUUGGGAACCAUUAUCUUGCUUUACCAACUUGCCUGAAGCUGUGGUGUCAGAGUCACCCCUUGUUUCUGUUUCAUCCCAUCUUUGAAGCAGCUGUUUGUCAGUGUGGCACUGUAGUUUGCUAGGAAAUAAUGCAGCUUUCUUUAAAUGAUAACUGAAAGGGCAUAUUUCUGAGGCUGCUGUAGUGCCGCCCAUUGGACAUAGAGCAUGACGGCAGUAUUUGCAGAUCGUGCGAUGGCAUAGCUGAGAUUAUGAUUGUAAGAUAGCUAGACAUCUCAACAUCUUUUAAUUCAGUUUAUGAAAUUUUUUUACCUGGUUUAGGAGUGGCAGGUAACUUUACAUAGCUGAUGGUAUCCACCACUUUGGCCAAAUGAUAAAUUGCACAUCUGAUAUAUGCUUCUUAAGGGAGCGUGAGGAGGUUGUACCUGAUAAAUUUGGGCACAUAGGACAUGAAGUUGCCAAGCUGUCUUCCACGUUUUCAGGGUUGCAAGUCUGCAACUAAGUCUGUUCGGUCCGUUACCACCUGAAUCUGCUCGCCUGCUCUAUGCCUCCAACAAUGUGUUAGCCAUGGCUUUGGGAAACAAGAACAUGUCGGAUUUCAAAUGGUAUUUGGUGUGACCUCAGUCCUCACCCAUAUCGGAUUCAAAGUGGUAAUUGGCGUGCCGAAUGGAACACCUGGACCCCAUCCGUGUCCAUGUAACACUGGUUGUGUUACCUCCCUUUAGCGAUCAUUUGGUCUUUUUUCAUGCAAAUUACAGAAAUAUAAGAUAUCAAAUCUAGUCAUACUGUACUUGAACUCUUAUUCCGCUUUUUUUUUAUAAGAAACUCUUAUUCCGCUUGAGGGUUUGUACUGUCAACUGUUAAACAAGCAAGUACAAGAUGCUUGAGCCCA